rnacentral:tRNA from 1 species
UAGAUAGCUCAGUUGGUUAGAGUGAAGGAUUGAAAAUCCUUAAGUCGGCAGUUCAAAUCUGUCUCU